CAGCCGCCGCGGUAAUACGAAGGGGGCUAGCGUUGUUCGGAAUUACUGGGCGUAAAGCGCACGUAGGCGGAUACUUAAGUUAGGGGUGAAAUCCCAGGGCUCAACCCUGGAACUGCCUUUAAUACUGGGUAUCUUGAGUUCGAGAGAGGUAAGUGGAAUUCCGAGUGUAGAGGUGAAAUUCGUGGAUAUUCGGAGGAACACCAGUGGCGAAGGCGGCUUACUGGCUCGAUACUGACGCUGAGGUGCGAAAGCGUGGGGAGCAAACAGGAUUAGAUACCCGAGUAGUCCCUGUCUCUUAUAA
rnacentral:rRNA from 1 species